rnacentral:rRNA from 1 species
UUGCACAGGUGCUGCAUGGCUGUCGUCAGCUCGUGUCGUGAGAUGUUCGGUUAAGUCCGCUAACGAGCGCAACCCUCGCUGUGUGUUAUAUGUGUCACACGGGACUGCCGGUCUUAAGCCGGAGGAAGGUGGGGAUGAUGUCAAGUCAGCAUGGCCUUUAUAUCCUGGGCUACACACACGCUACAAUGGCCAACACAAUAGGUUGCUAAGCCGCGAGGUGGCGCCAAUCCAUAAAGUUGGUCUCAGUUCAGAUUGUAGGCUGCAACCCGCCUGCAUGAAGAUGGAGUUGCUAGUAGCCGCAGGUCAGCUAUACUGCGGUGAAUACGUUCCCGGGGCUU